AUUGAACGCUGGCGGAAUGCUUUACACAUGCAAGUCGAACGGCAGCACGGGAGCUUGCUCCUGGUGGCGAGUGGCGAACGGGUGAGUAACAUAUCGGAACGUACCCAGUCGUGGGGGAUAACUCUCCGAAAGGAGAGCUAAUACCGCAUACGUCCUGAGGGAGAAAGCGGGGGACCUGCGAAGGGCCUCGCGCGAUUGGAGCGGCCGAUAUCGGAUUAGCUAGUUGGUGGGGUAAAGGCGUCACCAAGGCGACGAUCCGUAGCGGGUCUGAGAGGACGACCCGCCACACUGGAACUGAGACACGGUCCAGACUCCUACGGGAGGCAGCAGUGGGGAAUUUUGGACAAUGGGGGCAACCCGUGAUCCGAGCCAUUCCGCGUGAGUGAAGAAGGCCUCGG
rnacentral:rRNA from 1 species